UACGGGGGGGGCAAGCGUUGUUCGGAAUUACUGGGCGUAAAGGGCUCGUAGGCGGCCAACUAAGUCAUACGUGAAAUCCCUCGGCUUAACCGGGGAACUGCGUCUGAUACUGGAUGGCUUGAGUUUGGGAGAGGGAUGCGGAAUUCCGGGUGUAGUGGUGGAAUGCGUAGAGAUGUGGAGGAACACCGAUGGCGAAGGCAGCCCCCUGGGCUAACACUGACGCUCAUGCACGAAAGCGUGGGGAGCAAACAGG
rnacentral:rRNA from 1 species